AGAGAGGUCUUAAAUAACUCAAAGGCAUUGAAUUCUGACUGAUCUUGGAAGCUAAGCAGGGUUAAUACAUGCUCAGUACUUGUGUAGGAGACUGUCAGUGAAUACCAGGUGCUGUAGGCUGUCUUUC
rnacentral:rRNA from 11 species